rnacentral:rRNA from 1 species
UGGGAAUAUUGCACAAUGGGGGAAACCCUGAUGCAGCAAUCCCGCGUGAAUGAUGAAGGCCUUCGGGUCGUAAAGUUCUUUUAGCAGGGACGAAGGGAAACUUGACGGUACCUGCAGAAAAAGCACCGGCUAACUACGUGCCAGCAGCCGCGGUAAUACGUAGGGUGCAAGCGUUGCUCGGAAUUAUUGGGCGUAAAGCGCGCGUAGGCGGCUUCUUAAGUCUGGUGUGAAAUCCCGGAGCUUAACUCCGGAAGUGCACUGGAUACUGGGUCGCUAGAGGGUAAGAGAGGAAAGUGGAAUUCCUGGUGUAGGGGUGAAAUCCGUAGAUAUCAGGAGGAACAUCGGUGGCGAAGGCGGCUUUCUGGCUUACUACUGACGCUAAGGCGCGAAAGCGUGGGGAGCAAAC